rnacentral:ribozyme from 1 species
AAGCUCAGGGAGCACCGUCAAGCAAGCAAGCAAGCAAUUAAAUAAACAAACAAACAAAAAAUGAAAGAAUAGAAUUUUGAGCAAGUGGUGCCUCGACCUCCCAAUCUGUGCAUCUCUCUCUCUCUUUCUCGCACACUAUGAUAAUUUUUGUUACUUA